CCUACGUGAGGCAGCAGUGAGGAAUAUUGGUCAAUGGGCGAGAGCCUGAACCAGCCAAGUCGCGUGAGGGAGUACUGCCCUAUGGGUUGUAAACCUCUUUUGUCGGGGAGCAAAAGCCGGACGUGUCCGGCUGUUAGAGUACCCGAAGAAAAAGCAUCGGCUAACUCCGUGCCAGCAGCCGCGGUAAUACGGAGGAUGCGAGCGUUAUCCGGAUUUAUUGGGUUUAAAGGGUGCGUAGGUUGUUUUUUAAGUCAGCGGUGAAAGUUUGUGGCUCAACCAUAAAAUUGCCGUUGAAACUGGAAGACUUGAGUGGGUUUGAGGUAGGCGGAAUGCGUGGUGUAGCGGUGAAAUGCAUAGAUAUCACGCAGAACUCCGAUUGCGAAGGCAGCUUACUAAGCCAUAACUGACACUGAAGCACGAAAGCGUGGGGAUCAAACAGGAUUAGAUACCCCUGGUAGUC
rnacentral:rRNA from 1 species